rnacentral:rRNA from 1 species
UACGUAGGGUGCGAGCGUUGUCCGGAAUUACUGGGCGUAAAGAGCUUGUAGGUGGUUUGUCGCGUUGUUCGUGAAAUCUCACGGCUUAACUGUGAGCGUGCGGGCGAUACGGGCAGACUAGAGCACUGCAGGGGAGACUGGAAUUCCUGGUGUAGCGGUGGAAUGCGCAGAUAUCAGGAGGAACACCGGUGGCGAAGGCGGGUCUCUGGGCAGUAACUGACGCUGAGAAGCGAAAGCGUGGGGAGCGAACAGG